UCACGAGCGUGAGCCUCCCGGCACGUCGUCCGAGCCGCCGACCUCGCUUUGCCCGCGCUGCCGCGCCUGCCACCACCCGCACCUCUCUCCUCCAGCCCCAGCGCCCCGCCAACCCCUCGGGGGCCGGUGCCCCGCUACCCGACCCGUAAUUUCGGGUUAACCCGAACGCCCAGUCUGACGCGCGCAACGCAGGUAGCGGGGCGGAGCAGAGCCCCAGGCUACCCAGGCCGACAAAGUCGUGGAUUUGUUUUUCCAAACUGGAACAGCAAAGAUCUGGGCCUCGACCGCCUCAGCCGGUAAGCCCAGUCGAACCUCCUGGCCCAGGUCAUGGCGCGGCUCGUUACUGAGUCCUGACUGCGUCUGGUCGCCGCCGCCGGCAACCGCAGUCCGCCGCUCCAGCAACUCCCCCUAGCCCCGCAAGCGGCGCUUGGUCACCGGGCUCGCAGUCCCGCCUACCCGGCUCCCUGACUCGGCAACUCCAAUCCCAGUAGACCAGUAGCCAAUUGAGAGACAAGAUGAAUUAGAGAAAAAUGAAAAGAAACAUUUGCCUAAACUUUUUUGGCCUGGGGGUGUAAGCAACUUCUGGCUCCGCCGUUCGGUAGCGGUGCACAGCGGCGACUUGGAAGCAGCCCUGCCACCGGCAAAUGCUUCGUGUUGGAAGAGUCUGUACAAGAUCGAAUCCAUGCCGUGCUUUAAUUUCAUUCUUUGUGAGCCCACUACCUUUGGUUGGUCAUGACAGUGUACACUUCUUGGACUAUGUGCGAAAUCGGACUAAGCGCACUGCAGAUAAAAAUAUCGGAUUCUUGAACCAUAAACUGCAUAUUCGUAGUUGUGGUGCUUGCUUUUCCACUACUGCCCAAACUGUUCUGGUCCAAGCCCGUGACUCAUCUCAGCUAGCAUUGGAGAUAGAGAAUGCAAUCGAUCAGCAGAGGUUUGAUGAUGCAUGGAGGGCGUAUGAGAAACAUGUUCACAUGGAUGGACUUCCAAGAAAGUCUGUUCUGAGUAAACUUAUCACUGGCUUCGCAGUGACACGUGAUGUUCACAGGCUGAACCAGUCAUAUAAUGUGGUCGAUCAUGCAUUCGAAGAAAAGCACGAAUUGUUGGAGAAGGAACCCCUAAUUUACCUAUCUCUUACUCUAGCACAGUGUGCUCUUCCUAAUCUUGCUGUAAAUGUUGUGAGGAAGUUGGUAAAGAUGGAAGCAUACCCACCUGUUGCAGCAUGGUCGGGAAUUAUAGCACACAUGUGUCAAACUGCAAAUGGUGCAUUUCUUGCUGCUGACAUGGUAAUGGAGAUUGGCUACCUUUUCCAGAAUAAUAGAGUUGAUCCGCGGAAGAAGAGCAACCGUCCAUUGCUAUCAAUGAAGCCCAAUUCAUUUACAUUCAACAUAGUUCUGACUGCAUCCCUCCUGUUUGGUACGACUAAAAAGGCAGAGCAGCUUCUUGAAUUAAUGCCUAGGAUAGGGGUGAAACCUGAUGUCAGCUUAUUGAUUGUCAUGGCCCGUAUAUAUGAAAAGAAUGGGCACAAAGAUGAGAUUGUUAAGUUGAAGAGGCAUGUUGAUGAAGCCUGUGGUCUUAGUGAAUUGGAGUUUCAGCAAUUUUAUGAUUGCCUUCUCUCCUGUCAUUUGAAAUUUGGGGAUUUGGAUUCUGCAGUGGAUAUGGUAUUGGAUAUGCUUAGAAAGGGUAAGAAUGCAAAGCGAUCACUAGAAGCAGCUAAAGCAGUCCUUGAAGCAGUUGAAAGUAGCAAGAUUUAUCUUCCUUUUGAGAAAUCUGAUCCUGAAAAUUCAGGUUCGCCCAACAAAUCUGUAUCUGCUAAUGGUCAAAUGCGAAGUUAUGUUUCGUUCUUCAAGGAUAAGAGCUUUGCAAGGCUUGAAUUAGAUGCGAGAGGAUUACUCAAUCUAUUAUCAGAUAAGUUGCAGGAUCAGGUUGGAUUAGUAAAAUCUGAACAUGGUAUCCUCCAUCCAACAGAAACGAUGUAUGCCAAACUUGUCAAAGCUUUCUUGGAAGCAGACAAGAUCAGUGCCUUAGCGUCAUUUCUUGUGAAAGCAAGCAAGGAGGAUUCUCCUGUCUCUGUUGAGAGCUCCUUUGUCGUCCAAGUGAUAAACGCAUGCAUUUCUGUUGGGUUACUAGAGCAAGCACAUGACCUUCUUGACGAGAUGAGAUUUUCUGGAAUUAAAGUUGGUUCUUCUAUUUAUUCAUCACUCCUAAAAGCCUAUUGUAAAGAGGGCCAUCAUGAAGAUGAUAUAACUGCACUUUUGAAGGAUGCUCAGCAAGCAGGAAUUCAACUUGAUUCAAGCUGCUAUGAGGAUUUGAUACAAUCCAGGGUACAUCACAAGAACACCGCAGGUGCUUUGCAUCUUUUUAAAGAGAUGAGGAACUCAAAAGUUGUAAAAUCUGGUCACAGGGAGUUUGAGAUGCUAGUACAAAGCUGUGAUAACAGUGAAGCUGCUUUGACGACUAAGCUAGUCGAAGAAGUGAAGAGUGGUCAUACAGUUAAUCAUGCUAUUCAUGACUGGAACAAUGUUAUACAUUUCUUCUGUAAGAAGAGAUUAAUGCAUGAUGCUCACAAAGCACUGAGCAAGAUGCGAGUUUUAGGACACACACCAAAUGCACAAACUUUUCAUUCUUUAGUAACCGCUUACGCUGCCAUUGGUGGCAAAUAUGUGGAGGUGACAGAUUUGUGGGGUGAAAUGAAAGUUCUGGCCAACUCUAACUCAAUGAAAUUUGAUCAGGAGCUUUUGGACUCUCUAUUGUAUUGCUUUGUGAGAGGUGGUUUCUUCCUUCGAGCAAUGGAGGUUAUAGAAAUGAUGGAAAAAUGCAAGAUGUUCAUAGAUAAAUACAAGUACAAGUCCUUGUGGCUUAAAUACCAUAGAACAAUGUACAAAGGUAAGGCUCCUAAGGUUCAAACAGAAGCUCAACUGAUAAGGAGAGAAGCAGCACUGCAAUUCAAGAGAUGGAUUGGAUUGACAUGAAAGUGGGUUUUUGAAAGCAGGAAACCCUACAACUGAGAUGUCUGAGCUGUUACUACACUGUGCAGUCUGGCGAUGUUCUGGGAUCAGCAUAGUUGGAUACCACUGUAUGUCCCACCUCUGAAGGUGAAACACUCAACAUCUCAAUUUGCCACUUAGUGCUGGUGUUGCUAAGAGUUGUAGCAUGUGGAUUAGUGGAGUUGUCAGGCCUCCUUAUGAUGGCAGUGACCAUGGGAUAUGCUCAUAUGGCAUUCUUUUUCCUGGAAGGUGAAGGUGCUGAUAUCACAACUUUUCAUGCCUCGAGAUUCGGGCCAAGUCGAAUGAUAGGCACUUUACUCUUUCUUCUUCUCCUGCAUGCGUACUUGUGAGCCAAUUGAUGGUGUUCUUGCACGUACACAUGUCACAAACCCAGGGUGGCAUGCAUGCAUGCAAGAUCUGACUUAUCUUUUCCUUUUUCCCGUGUCACUGAUUUCUUCAUUGAAAAUAGUAACAACCACGGGACUUUGAAAUGGCACACAAUGUAAUAGUGUCAUUGGUUGCUAUUUCAGAUAUACGAGCCUACGUCGUGCAUGGUCAGAGACCAGAAUGAGUGAAUUUUCUGACCUGGGAGAGAUGAUCACAGAGCUGCAGGGCAGGAUGCUGUGGAAAGAGCAGCAGCCCCCUUCUGAUGAGUCAUAACAGUUUGGGGCACCCCACAAUAAUCAAUUAGCAGGAAGACACAAUCAACUCAGAUAUGCAUGCUAAAUCUGAGUAGCUAGGUAUAUGGUUGAUGGAUUCUGAGUUCUUGCCUCCAUGCAUGAUCACCAACCUACUAUCAUUUGCUUGCUACACACUGUCCAUGAGAUGCAAAGUGUACUGCUGCUGCUUUCGGCUAGUAGCUGUUGCGGCCAUGGAUGGCUUUAGGGAUCUACAAUCCCUAGCUAGGUUUACAUGAAUACAUCUCCCCUCUCUAUCAUAUCAAGGGUCAUGUCCUCCCUUUGCUUUGCUCCAGUCACUUCCAUACCCAAACGAUGCAAUGUCAUAACACAGCCAUGUUUGCCCCCAUGCCGAUUGAGUGAUGGAUGCUCCACUUUUCUUUUUCUUUCUGGAGAGAUGAUGGAUGCUCCACUUGACUGGGAGGAAAAAACUUGAUGCUAUCAUUACUGCAAUAAGAUCACUGUUGUGAACUUGUGAUUGUA